rnacentral:rRNA from 1 species
GAUGAACGCUGGCGGCGUGCCUAAUACAUGCAAGUCGAGCGAACGGACGAGAAGCUUGCUUCUCUGAUGUUAGCGGCGGACGGGUGAGUAACACGUGGAUAACCUACCUAUAAGACUGGGAUAACUUCGGGAAACCGUAGCUAAUACCGGAUAAUAUUUUGAACCGCAUGGUUCAAAAGUGAAAGACGGUCGUGCUGUCACUUAUAGAUGGAUCCGCGCUGCAUUAGCUAGUUGGUAAGGUAACGGCUUACCAAGGCAACGAUGCAUAGCCGACCUGAGAGGGUGAUCGGCCACACUGGAACUGAGACACGGUCCAGACUCCUACGGGAGGCAGCAGUAGGGAAUCUUCCGCAAUGGGCGAAAGCCUGACGGAGCAACGCCGCGUGAGUGAUGAAGGUCUUCGGAUCGUAAAACUCUGUUAUUAGGGAAGAACAUAUGUGUAAGUAACUGUGCACAUCUUGACGGUACCUAAUCAGAAAGCCACGGCUAACUACGUG